UACGUAGGGUGCAAGCGUUGUCCGGAAUUAUUGGGCGUAAAGAGCUCGUAGGCGGUUUGUCGCGUCUGCUGUGAAAACUCGGGCUUAACUCCGGCCUGCAGUGGGUACGGGCAGGACUAGAGUGCGGUAGGGGAGAGCUGGAAUUCCUGGUGUAGCGGUGAAAUGCGCAGGAUAUCAGGAGGAACCGAGCCGGUAGGCGGAAGGCGGGGUCCUCC
rnacentral:rRNA from 1 species